rnacentral:rRNA from 1 species
AUUGAACGCUGGCGGCAGGCCUAACACAUGCAAGUCGAGCGGAUGAAGGGAGCUUGCUCCUGGAUUCAGCGGCGGACGGGUGAGUAAUGCCUAGGAAUCUGCCUGGUAGUGGGGGAUAACGUCCGGAAACGGGCGCUAAUACCGCAUACGUCCUGAGGGAGAAAGUGGGGGAUCUUCGGACCUCACGCUAUCAGAUGAGCCUAGGUCGGAUUGGCUAGUUGGUGGGGUAAAGGCCUACCAAGGCGACGAUCCGUAACUGGUCUGAGAGGAUGAUCAGUCACACUGGAACUGAGACACGGUCCAGACUCCUACGGGAGGCAGCAGUGGGGAAUAUUGGACAAUGGGCGAAAGCCUGAUCCAGCCAUGCCGCGUGUGUGAAGAAGGUCUUCGGAUUGUAAAGCACUUUAAGUUGGGAGGAAGGGCAGUAAGUUAAUACCUUGCUGUUUUGACGUUACCGACAGAAUAAGCACCGGCUAACUUCGUG